rnacentral:rRNA from 1 species
GAUGAACGCUGGCGGCGUGCCUAAUACAUGCAAGUCGAACGCAUUGUGGUUGAAAUGAUAUGAAGAACUUGUUCAGAUUUGAUUUUCAACAUUGCAAUGAGUGGCGAACGGGUGAGUAACACGUGGGAAACCUACCUCUUAGCAGGGGAUAACAUUUGGAAACAAAUGCUAAUACCGUAUAAUAAUUAAAACCGCAUGGUUUUAGUUUAAAAGAUGGUCUUGCUAUCACUAAGAGAUGGUCCCGCGGUGUAUUAGUUAGUUGGUGAGGUAAUGGCUCACCAAGACAAUGAUACAUAGCCGAGUUGAGAGACUGACCGGCCACAAUGGGACUGAGACACGGCCCAUACUCCUACGGGAGGCAGCAGUAGGGAAUCUUCCACAAUGGACGAAAAGUCUGAUGGAGCAACGCCGCGUGUGUGAUGAAGGUUUCGGCUCGUAAAACACUGUUGUAAGAGAAGAAUGACAUUGAAGAGUAACUGUUCAAUGUGUGACGGU